UACGAGAGGUCCAAACGUUAUUCGGAAUCACUGGGCUUACAGAGUUCGUAGGCGGUACGGAAAGUGGGGUGUGAAAGCCCUCGGCUCAACCGAGGAAUUGCGCUCCAAACUACCGUGCUAGAGGAAGAUAGAGGUGAGCAGAACUGAUGGUGGAGCGGUGAAAUGCGUUGAUAUCAUCAGGAAUACCGGAGGCGAAGGCGGCUCACUGGGUCUUUUCUGACGCUGAGGAACGAAAGCUAGGGGAGCAAACGGG
rnacentral:rRNA from 1 species